CACCGUUGCUCAUCUCACCAUCGCACAUGACCACGGCCGCUCAUCUUUUACCAUCGCACAUCAUCACAUCGCCAUUGCCACUCACCAUUGUGUUGCCUCCCAUUGACAUUCAAGUUUUUCUUUCUCUCUGUCCAUCUCUCUUUUUGUCUUUGUCUUUCUCAUUUUUCCCAUUUCACUCUAGCUCUAGGGUUUUAUUUUAUUUUAUUAUUAUUUUUUUUUUGAUGUUGUAGGAUUUUGAUUUCUAUGAAAUGAGUAAAUGGGUUUUGAUUUGUGUUCUAAAUUUAAGAUUUUUUGAACUGAUUAUUGGUGUGGUAGAUGAGAUUCCUUUUGCUAAUUGCACCUGGGCCUCCCUCUGUCCUCUCUACUAUACACACGCAUGAGUUCUUCGGCCCAACCAACCUCCGAAGCUCUCAUCCACCAGUGUUGCUACUGCUCUCAAUCACCACUGUUUCCACCAUCAGCCACUAGCUUUAUCGCCCUCAACAAUUGAUGAAGGAGGGACUUUGCUUUAUGCUUGGAUGGAGAUUUGUAAUUUUCUUUCUCAUGGAAAUAGUUUGAGUCGGGCUAAUAGGAUGAUCAGGCUGGGCUUACCCAUGUGGGCUCUUACGGACUGGAUUCAUGGACGGGCUUGGAUUCCAAGCCAUUGUCUAAAAUCAUAAAUCAUCUGUUAUAGGUUGGGACGGAAUGAGUACUGAAGUAGGUUGGGACGAGCUAUGAGACGAAUGGACCUGAUUGGGUAAUAUAAGAUUUUUUAUUUGCAGAACAUUUGAUAACCCCUACUUAUAUGUUGUGUUAAAGUUUUAUCCUAUAUAUUAUUUUUUAAGUCACUUGUGUAGUCCAGACAUUCACUUAUCUAUGACCAAUUG